CCUACGGGAGGCAGCAGUGAGGAAUAUUGGUCAAUGGACGAGAGUCUGAACCAGCCAAGUAGCGUGAAGGAUGACUGCCCUAUGGGUUGUAAACUUCUUUUAUAUGGGAAUAAAACGUUCCACGUGUGGGAUUUUGUAUGUACCAUAUGAAUAAGGAUCGGCUAACUCCGUGCCAGCAGCCGCGGUAAUACGGAGGAUCCGAGCGUUAUCCGGAUUUAUUGGGUUUAAAGGGAGCGUAGGUGGAUUGUUAAGUCAGUUGUGAAAGUUUGCGGCUCAACCGUAAAAUUGCAGUUGAAACUGGCAGUCUUGAGUACAGUAGAGGUGGGCGCAAUUCGUGGUGUAGCGGUGAAAUGCUUAGAUAUCACGAAGAACUCCGAUUGCGAAGGCAGUUCACUGGACUGCAACUGACACUGAGGCUCGAAAGUGUGGGUAUCAAACAGGAUUAGAUACCCCGGUAGUC
rnacentral:rRNA from 1 species